UACGAAGGGGGCUAGCGUUGCUCGGAAUUACUGGGCGUAAAGCGCACGUAGGCGGCUUUCUAAGUCGGAGGUGAAAUCCUGGAGCUCAACUCCAGAACUGCCUUCGAUACUGGAGAGCUCGAGUCCGGGAGAGGUGAGUGGAACUGCGAGUGUAGAGGUGAAAUUCGUAGAUAUUAGGAAGAACACCAGUGGCGAAGGCGGCUCACUGGUCCGGUACUGACGCUGAGGUGCGAAAGCGUGGGGAGCAAACAGG
rnacentral:rRNA from 1 species